rnacentral:misc_RNA from 1 species
AACGCACAUUGCGCCCUUUGGUAUUCCAAAGGGCAUGCCUGUUCGAGCGUCAUUUGUACCCUCAAGCUUUGCUUGGUGUUGGGCGUCUUGUCUCCAGUUCGCUGGAGACUCGCCUUAAAGUAAUUGGCAGCCGGCCUACUGGUUUCGGAGCGCAGCACAAGUCGCGCUCUCUUCCAGCCAAGGUCAGCAUCCACAAAGACUUUUUUCAACUUUUGACCUCGGAUAAGGUAGGGAUACCCGCUGAACUUAA